AAGGAUAAUAACGGAAUAUCACCWUUAGGUGAUAAGCGGAUUAACGUGACAUAUUGUAUUCAGUUUUGAAUGCUCAUAUUUGAGGAUUCAAACUAAAGAAAAAAUUAAAUUGAAAGCAUUUGCCAGUCUAUGAAUUUCUUGAUGAACGCAGCGAAGAUUACUAGUCGUAACUGAGCAAGUGAAGAAAGAAAUGAAGACGAAUGCGAAGGCUUGUCAAUUUAAUCAAAUUGUACAUUGAAAACUAGAUAAGUAAGUAUAAAWGAUUUUACCAAGCAAAAACCGAGUGAAUAGCGAAAGCUUGAAACUAAAAUUAUCGCUAGUCGUCAAAUGACGACUCACAUAAUUAAUAACACACAGGUUUGAUUGAAAACGCUUGUCAGUCUAUGAAUCAUGAACAAGAGCGAGUGYGCUUACUUUUGCGUAAGUAAUCGAGCGAUUGUGAAAUGAUGAAGACGAAUGYGAGCGAUUGACAAUCAAAGCCAAAA
rnacentral:misc_RNA from 1 species